rnacentral:rRNA from 1 species
AUUGAACGCUGGCGGAAUGCUUUACACAUGCAAGUCGAACGGCAGCACGGGGGCAACCCUGGUGGCGAGUGGCGAACGGGUGAGUAAUACAUCGGAACGUGCCCGGUCGUGGGGGAUAACGUAGCGAAAGUUACGCUAAUACCGCAUACGAUCUGAGGAUGAAAGCGGGGGACCUUCGGGCCUCGCGCGAUCGGAGCGGCCGAUGUCAGAUUAGGUAGUUGGUGGGGUAAAGGCCUACCAAGCCGACGAUCUGUAGCUGGUCUGAGAGGACGACCAGCCACACUGGGACUGAGACACGGCCCAGACUCCUAAGGGAGGCAGCAGUGGGGAAUUUUGGACAAUGGGCGCAAGCCUGAUCCAGCCAUUCCGCGUGCAGGACGAAGGCCUUCGGGUUGUAAACUGCUUUUGUAUGGAACGAAAAGGCUCUGGCUAAUACCUGGGGCUCAUGACGGUACCGGAAGAAUAAGCACCGGCUAACUACGUG